rnacentral:tRNA from 1 species
GCAGGGAUCGGAUAGCAUGGCCAAUUCCGCUGGCUUGAGGUGCCAGUCCUUUAGUAGGUUCGGGAGUUCGAAUCUCCCUCCCUGCA